rnacentral:rRNA from 1 species
GAUGAACGCUGGCGGCGUGCCUAAUACAUGCAAGUCGAGCGAACAGACGAGGAGCUUGCUCCUCUGACGUUAGCGGCGGACGGGUGAGUAACACGUGGAUAACCUACCUAUAAGACUGGGAUAACUUCGGGAAACCGGAGCUAAUACCGGAUAAUAUAUUGAACCACAUGGUUCAAUAGUGAAAGACGGUUUUGCUGUCACUUAUAGAUGGAUCCGCGCCGCAUUAGCUAGUUGGUAAGGUAACGGCUUACCAAGGCAACGAUGCGUAGCCGACCUGAGAGGGUGAUCGGCCACACUGGAACUGAGACACGGUCCAGACUCCUACGGGAGGCAGCAGUAGGGAAUCUUCCGCAAUGGGCGAAAGCCUGACGGAGCAACGCCGCGUGAGUGAUGAAGGUCUUCGGAUCGUAAAACUCUGUUAUUAGGGAAGAACAAAUGUGUAAGUAACUAUGCACGUCUUGACGGUACCUAAUCAGAAAGCCACGGCUAACUACGU